rnacentral:rRNA from 1 species
CAGCAGUAGCCGCGGUAAUACGUAGGGUGCGAGCGUUAAUCGGAAUUACUGGGCGUAAAGCGUGCGCAGGCGGUUCGUUAAGUUGGAUGUGAAAUCCCCGGGCUCAACCUGGGAACUGCAUCCAAAACUGGCAAGCUAGAGUAUGGUAGAGGGUGGUGGAAUUUCCUGUGUAGCGGUGAAAUGCGUAGAUAUAGGAAGGAACACCAGUGGCGAAGGCGACCACCUGGACUGAUACUGACACUGAGGUGCGAAAGCGUGGGGAGCAAACAGGAUUAGAUACCCGAGUAGUCCCUGUCUCUUAUAC